rnacentral:lncRNA from 1 species
AGUAUACAUGUUUGGUAUAAUAAGUAAAACUAAACAAGUUUAACGGGUGACAAAUUUGACCAGUGUGUAACUCCAGCCCUUGCCCACCAUCAUUGUUUUUUUUCCACGCCGUCAGUUUUGUCGAGGUGAUAUUUUAAUUGAAUAUUUGCUGCUGGAAACGCGUGUGCCUCGAGCAAGGAAUUAAAUUUGAAACGCCAUUUAUUCCUGGACGAUAUGAGGAUAGAAAAGACACAUCGGCAAUGUUGAUCAGGAAGGAAACGAUCCGGAAUCGAUUUAGAAGCUGUUCCGAACAAGAUUCCAACAAAAUUGUGCCAAAUACAGCGUAGCAGAAGAGCGAGGUUGAAGCCGGGAAGAUGCGCUGUGAGAGAUCCAGAUGACGAUGGAGAUUAACUUUUACCGUAACAUUUGUUAGUGAUUGUGGUGAAAAAUGCAAAUGUACACCAAUAACAUUAUUUUAAGUAGAUUCUAGAUUAAAAUAAAUGGGUCCGCUUCGUCUUUCAAUCAG